GGGCCCGCACAAGCAGUGGAGCAUGUGGUUUAAUUCGAUGCAACGCGAAGAACCUUACCAGGGCUUGACAUCCUGCGAAUCUCUGGGAAACCGGAGAGUGCCUUCGGGAACGCAGUGACAGGUGGUGCAUGGCUGUCGUCAGCUCGUGUCGUGAGAUGUUGGUUAAGUCCCGCAACGAGCGCAACCCACGUCUUUAGUUGCCAGCAUUUAGUUGGGCACUCUAGAGAGACCGCCGGUGACAAACCGGAGGAAGGUGUGGAUGACGUCAAGUCAUCAUGCCCCUUACGUCCUGGCUACACACGUACUACAAUGCUACGGACAAAGGGCAGCAAGUUCGCGAGGAC
rnacentral:rRNA from 1 species